CGCGCGCGCCCCAGUAUCCUACAUUGAGCGCGCGGCCGCCGCUUCUUCCUGGCGAGCGAACAAACGGCGAGGGCACGCGCGACGAAGAGGAACCGUCACGUAAGGUACAUUUCAGAGCAUGCGCUAUAAAGGGUAUGUAGUGGUGGGGAUGAGGGUGACGGCGGCGGGUGCGGGGGAGCCGAAGACGGCGAGAUGCUGGGAAACACCUCCGAAACGUAGAAGGUGUCGUGCGUCUCUUUCACGUCUAAGAGACGCGCGCGAAGGAAAGAAGAGUUGCGUGAAAGAAGGGGCGCGUGCACCGUUGCCGGAAGUCUGUACAGUAGCUCUUUCUCGGACUUGAACAGACAGCGGGGAAGAGCACGUGUCACCGCACAACCCUCUCCCCCCUCCCUUCUGGGUUUUCUCCUUUUUUUUUCUUUUGGUGGGCGGGGCUCAAGACCUCUGGAACAAAUAACGAAGAUAAUAAAGUCUCGGGCACAUGCUGACUCCGCCCCAUUCCGCCUCGUCCUGCUGAAAGCCGUCACGUGAGGGGGGAAGGAAGGUGCCGCGAGGACAUAGGAAAAAAAAACGGGCACUGUCAGCGUCGCUCUUAUGCAACUGCGCGAGGAUGGGCCGGAGGGAGCGCCGCACGGAAAUUGCGCUCUUGACUUUGUUUCUUCGGUCUCGGGGGACUGAAAGCGCUGUGACAGCAGGGCUGAGCGAGCGUAAUCGCAUCUCCCGCCUCGGUUACUUUUCACUCAAAACCGGACCGAAAGACAAUCCCUAACUGCGUGUAAACAAAUUCCGCUGGCGUUGCGGGCUGCCUUCCAGCCAAACGUCAGUUUUUACCCACUCUUUUUUUGUCUGUCCCUUUUACCGCCUUUAAGAUACGUUGUUACAUAUCUUGGAUGGCGUUUCCCAUCUCGUCAGCGUUGUUGCGGAAUUCUGGAGAUGCUGCUUGUUUUGAGCGCCUCAGUGGUGAAUUUGCCAUUGUAGGCUUCUGCGGUGGUCUCUUAGCAGAUGGUGACUGACGGCCUGAUCCUGCCCCUAAGACCUGUCCUCUCUUUGCAAUGUGACAAGUCCCAGCUGCAAGGAACUCUCCAUCUCAUAAGCCAAAACCUGCUAUUCAAUAAGGCCAGCUGCAAUCUGCUCCAUUUUAUGGUAAUUAAAAAUAGCAUUUGUGCACCUGAUAGGCUGCCAGUGCAGCUGCUACAGAUAUACUAAAUUUGAAUGCCUAGAUGCCAUACAUAUCAUCUCACCCUUCAGUUCAUCUGUAAUAUGCAAUAGAGCAAAUGUCUCUGGCUACCAUUUACAAAUUGUUCAGAGCUAUCUCAUGCUCUGUAAUAAGCAAACAAUGAGGUUUGUAGUAAAAAUUUUAGUGGAAAUUCAAAAUGAUUCUGUUUCUAUUCUGAGGAAGCUGCAGUAAAUUUAUUUUUAUGUAAAUGUUAGGUCACCACUUUUUAUCAAUUGCACCUGUUGUGUUUCAGGUUUUGGAAAUAGUUUCAGAAAUAAUUUUUGCUGAAUUCAGUUGGGCUGAACUCCAUGGGUUAAGUGUGUAGCCUUUCUAUAAGUGUAGCCUUUGUAUAGUUUCUACAGCCAUAGUUGUUAGAAGAAACUGAUUUUUCAGACGAAUAUGUUUCCUUACCCAUUUUCAACUCUUAUGAGUGGUUCUUCCUUGCCUAAUUUUUGUAUCAGAUGACUUGCUUCAUUUCUAAUUAAACAGGUGUUGCAUGUUUCAUAUUAUUACACAAACUUGUAAAACCUGUAAACGAUGAUACAUGGAUGAGUAUUCUACCCACAGGCAGGACUGACUGUAUUGUAUCAGCCACAUCUAAAUAAGCUGUUGCUGGCAAUGUUGUACGCAUUUGUACUUUCAGAUUUGCAAGACUGAUGUCUGCCCUCCCAAGUAACUGUAGAGGAAAUGUGACCAGAUGAGCUAAUUCUACCUUAUUGUAAGGCUACAUUAACAGAAUCCUGAAAGUCUGAAAAUCUCCCACCAUCUCUUUUUACAACCUGAUCAAUUAGGGUGGCUCCUUCCUAAGUUUCUUUCUCUGACUGUUAAGCUAUUGUGGGCUCCUCCCUCUUUCUCAAGGUUAUUCCCACAUACCAUUACAGUACCCCAUGAGAUGCUGAUUAGCCAUCUGGAGUACUGUGUCCAGUUCUAGGGACCAUACUUUGAAUUCAGACAAACUGGAAAGAUUCAGAAAUAGGCAGUGAGAAUGAUGAAGGGACUAGAAACUAAAUGAAAAGAGGUUGAAGGAGCUGGACAUGUCUAGCCUUAAAAAAAGACAGCUGAAAAAAAGACAUACUCUUCAAAUAUCUGAAAGGAUGUCCUGGAAGAAGGUCAAGACUGUUUUCUCUCAUUUAGAAUACAUGACAUGAUAUAAUGGAAUUAAGUUACAGGAAGAUUCCAGUUGCAUGGUAU